GUGCUCUCCACAGAGGCCCUUCUGAAGGAGCUGCCGGUGGAGGAGCGGUCGGCUCCGCAGGGCGAGGCCAGGGAGGAGUGCAGCUCUCUGCUGGAGGAGGAGACGGAGCAGGAGGGAGCCAGAAGGAGCCGCCAGCGCAAGCAGAGGGAGCGGGAGCAGCAGGAGCAGCAGGAGCAGGAGUUGAAGAGGCAGCAGGAGGAGACGGAGAGGUUGAGAGAGGAGGAGGAGCUGGAGAAAAAGAAGAAGAAGGCAGGCAAGAAGGAGGUGUCGGGAAAGAAGAGUCAGCUGGGAAGGAAGUCCACCCCGUCUCUGGACAACAACAUACAGUCCAUUUGCAGCAACUGUAAAGACACACCAACAGAGGCCAGUGAGCCAGGGCCUUUCGUCCCGGUUUCUGGGGUUGAGGCAGAGCAACAAGUGCCCAGUAAGACUGAGCUCCAGCUGCUGUCACGGCUCCACUCCUACCAGCAGAGCCGGCUCCAAGUCAGCCACGUCCUCCAGCACUGGGACCGCCUCCUGGGGCUGCUCCAGGUCCCGCUCUGCUGCGCUGAGGCCCCAGCAGAACCAGAGGAGACCCCCCCCGACAAACAGCCCCCCACAGAGAGGAAGACCAGGAGGGAGCGAGAGAAGGAGAAGGGGGAUAAGGAGCGAGGGAGGCUGGAGAAGGAGCGCCAGAUGGCCGACGCCCAGCCGCCGGCCCCGGGGCCCGGCCAGGCGGUCGAGGAGCCCCGGUCAAUCAUCGCCGUCCCUCACCUCACGCUGAGUGCGGGCGGGGGCCCUUCUGGCCCCCAGGAG
ensembl:lncRNA